rnacentral:tRNA from 1 species
GCCCUCACCCGCCGGUCCUUCGGCGGGACCGUGCUCGGGUCCGCGACCUUCUCCGUCGAGGUCGCCCCGCGGUCCAACGCCGCGGUGACGGUGCC